rnacentral:rRNA from 1 species
UAUAAGUUGAAGCGACUUGAAUCGUGAAACCGCGAACGGCUCAUUAAAACAGCUGUAAUCCACUUGACCUUGAAAUCCUACUUGGAUAACUGUGGUAAUUCUAGAGCUAAUACACGCACAAAAUCCCUGAGUCCUCCGGGACCGAGGGCGCAUUUAUUAGACUAAAAUCAAACGGCUUCGGUCGUUGUGGUUGACUCAGAAUAACUCAGCUGAUCGCAUGACCUAGUGUCGGCGACGUGUCUUUCGAGUGUCUGCCUUAUCAACUGGUUGGUAGUGUACGGGGCUACCAUGGUGGUAACGGGUAACGGAGGAUCAGGGUUCGACUCCGGAGAAGGGGCCUGAGAAAUGGCCACUACGUCUAAGGAUGGCAGCAGGCGCGCAAAUUACCCACUCUCGGCACGAGGAGGUAGUGACGAAAAAUAACGAGGUCGGCCCUUCGGGGUUGGUCAUCGGAAUGGGUACAAUCUAAACCCUUUAACGAGUAUCUAUGAGAGGGCAAGUCUGGUGCCAG